AAGACCUUACUUCAUAGGAUCAUUUCUAUAGUAUGUUCUUCACGAGACUUUAAAAAGGAUUGUAUUUUUCAUUA
rnacentral:snoRNA from 1 species